rnacentral:rRNA from 1 species
UACGGGAGGUGCGAGCGUUGUCCGGAAUCACUGGGCGUAAAGGGCGCGUAGGCGGCGCGGUAAGCGUGCGGUGAAAGUCCGGGGCUCAACCCGGAUCGGCCGUGCGGACUGCCGGGCUUGAGCACUGUAGGGGCGGGUGGAACUCCGGGUGUAGCGGUGGAAUGCGUAGAGAUCCGGAAGAACACCGGUGGCGAAGGCGGCCCGCUGGGCAGUGACUGACGCUGAGGCGCGACAGCGUGGGGAGCAAACGAGG